GAUGAACGCUGGCGGCGUGCCUAAUACAUGCAAGUCGAGCGAACGGACGAGAAGCUUGCUUCUCUGAUGUUAGCGGCGGACGGGUGAGUAACACGUGGAUAACCUACCUAUAAGACUGGGAUAACUUCGGGAAACCGGAGCUAAUACCGGAUAAUAUUUUGAACCGCAUGGUUCAAAAGUGAAAGACGGUCUUGCUGUCACUUAUAGAUGGAUCCGCGUUGCAUUAGCUAGUUGGUAAGGUAACGGCUUACCAAGGCAACGAUGCAUAGCUGACCUGAGAGGGUGAUCAGCCACACUGGAACUGAGACACGGUCCAGACUCCUACGGGAGGCAGCAGUAGGGAAUCUUCCGCAAUGGGCGAAAGCCUGACGGAGCAACGCCGCGUGAGUGAUGAAGGUCUUCGGAUCGUAAAACUCUGUUAUUAGGGAAGAACAUAUGUGUAAGUAACUGUGCACGUCUUGACGGUACCUAAUGAGAAAGCAACGGCUAACUUCGUG
rnacentral:rRNA from 1 species